UAAGUCUCCAGGGCAGGAACCACAUCUUCAAAGUGUUUUGCACAGAACAGGGCAGCUGUGGGUCUACUUGGGGGAAGACUGGUGGUAGAGAAGUCCUCCCCCCUUCUUCCCUCCCUCCCUUCCUCUAGUUCUCCAUUUAGCAAACAUUUACGUAGCUGACUGAGUACCAGGCACAUUGCAAGGCGCUAGAGAUACAGUCUUACCCUCAUGGAGCUUUCUAGUGAAAAAAGACAGAUGACCAACAAGCAACAUUAGUGUAAUUAGUGCUGUAACAGGUCUGAAGGGUAGAAAUAGGGAAUAGGGAUGGAAACUAACUUAGGCUGGCUCCCUAGGGAAACAGGCAUUUAUGAAGAAAUCCAGAAGGGAUUCCGGAGCAGGCCAAGCUCCAUCGCAUUGCUCACCCUUAGAUAUUCAGGCCUUUUCUCCAAGAAAGAGGGACAACAAGAAAAGAAAAGCAACCUAUAGGCCUGGUAGAGCGAAUUGUGUGUGGCAGCCCGGCGGAGGGAAGGAGGCAGCCGGUUUGCAGCCCAAUGUUCACGCUCACGUGCAUACAGGACAUUCGGCUCAGGCUUCCUGGCUUCUGGUGUUCACUCUGGACUCAGUAGUUCGGCCGUCUCGUUUUCCAGAGGAGAGUUUCACCUCUCCAAGGGGCAACUGCGUCUUCUCACAGAACUUAUUAAAUGGGAAACUGGCCCAUGUUAAAGGCACAGUCACAUCUAGUGGACUCUCUCCGCUAAAAAUAGAAAAAUUGAAGAAAUAUCCUAAAAGUGACAUCUUUGAAGAAAACUGGGAACGACUGUUCAAAAUGCUGUGUGCCAAGAGUAAGGGAGGGGAGAUUUCCAUACCUGUGAAAUUCAUUUUCAGGUAAAGAGGUUCCUCCAUCUGCUCCCCCCGAGCCUGCAGGGGCCCCAGGCUUUCCUCCCUUGCCCCUCGGGCGAGUCCUCCUCCCAAACCACGCAGCCACGGACCGGUUCCUGCUGUUUACACUCCGGGUCCUCCUGGGCAAGGCUGCUCUUGGUAACCAUAGAGACCAGAAGGUGUCCUUGCACAAGUGGUAGGUGGAAAACCGAGGGCUCUGACACCACGAGGUCAUCCCCCCCCACAAGGCAUCUCGGUUUCCAUAAGCACAUUUACUUGUCCUAUCUGCUGUUUGAUUCAGAGCUUCCCAGAAGCCUGGACUAGGCGACGAUGGUGCAGGCUGAUGAUCGUGAGAGACACGGAGAGGGUGAAGUGGAUUUCACCCUUCAGGGAGGACCGAGCAGCUAGCAAGUCCCCGCUCUGUGGCGUGGAUCGCUCCCCAAGCAGAGCAUGGCACUCUAUGCCUAGGGCAGCUCUGGCGUUUCUUACAUGGUACUCUUGGUGGUUGUGCUCCCCUCAUCCCCCUACCUCUUGGCCCUAGAGGGCAGGGACCGCAAUUCGGUGCUAGGCAAAGCCUGAGGAGCAGUAAGGAGCCAGAGGCAGCCACACGACUUCUGGGGCUGCUGGCCUCUUCCCAGGUCCCAAGUGGACAUACUGGGUUUUCUGGACUGGUUCUGAAACUCAAAGCUCAAGCUACUCCAGCCAAAUCGGCUCCCUGGUGAGGGGGAGGCAGCCAGGGAGAGGGGGGAUGGGCUGUGGGGGCGUAGCAAAACUGUGACAAGCUGGGGACUGUUCCUUAUGCUAGGCUCCAACGGCGUGGGAAACUGCUGCAGAAAGAAGAGGGAGUAUGGGUGGGAGGGGGGCAAAGAAGCCCAAAGCGCCGGAGCUUGGGACGAGCCUCCAGCCGCCGUGGUAGCUCCAACUGGGCUGGACCCCCCUCCCUCUGGAAUGCAUGCAUGCUCGGAAAGCCCACUCUCCCUGGGUUUGGGAUCUGGCCAGCUUAGGGUGGGAAGAGCAGAAGGCCUGGGGCUCCUGUGGCCCGGGGUGUGGGGUGGUGAUGAUGGUGGGAGUGGGGGUGUGAAGUCACUUGACAUUCAGCUGUCGAGUAACUCUUCAUGGGAGACACGGCUUGGACGUUAGGCCGGAGCUUGUCCAUAGGCCCCGCAGAGGUGGCCGGGGCCCUCGACAAGGCUUGGCAGCAGGGGUGUCUGAGCUGAACCCAGACUCUGUAGUUUGCGUCGUCUUUGGGAAAGUUGUGUGACCUCUCUGGGACUGAGGUUUCUUGUCUGUUCUGUUGGGCAGAGUCAUGCCCCCCUAGUGUGAAGAGAAUGCAGCUGCACGGCCUGGGGAAGGGCCUGGCAGCGUGGGCGCCCCGUGUGUGGUCCAGCAGUCCUUGCUCCCGGCCUCCCCUUCUUCCCUGCCUCUAGCUCCCGCUAGUUAGAGGCCGUGCAGCUAACACGGGGCUCUCCGACCUAGUUUCUGGGCUGGGGGCUUUGUCCCCAGCUCCUGUGGUCCCUCAGAGCCUUUGGAUGCUUGUGUCCAGUCGGCGGGACUCUGACUGGGGCUCUGGAGCAGGAGGCGGGACACAGAGCCACAGACCCUUGGGAAUCCUCAAGGCUGGCACCUCCAGGCUUUGGAGAAGCAGCCUGUUUCUCCUCUCCGCAGGGUAGAAACUGGCUUAAGUCUCCAGUGCGACUCAGCCACUCAGUGCCUCCUGCUUAAAGCUUUCAUUCUUUCUGGACCCAGGGCGCUACAGGGACUGUGUUCCCCAUUACCUACAGGGAAAGGGGACAAAGACUGGCUGUGGGUCCCAUACACUUUGGCCUUGCUCUGACUAUGUAGGACCCAACCUUUCAGGAGGUAAGAGGGGAGAAGUUAAAGACCCCUUGACUCCCUGCACAAUUCUGCCAACCCCGGCCCUGCUUAUCUUCACUUGUGUGCAGACGGAGACUAGGCCACCAGGCCUGACCCGAAAUGAAUCCAGUGAUUUGGGGCUGUAGAGAAGACCUUUGUCUGGCAGGGCAAUAUGUCCCAAGAGUGUAGCUGUGAGGGGUGGAGAAAAGCCCUCCGUGAGAGGUUAAACCAGAAGGGGCUAACAGGAGAGACUUGUGCCAACAGCAGACAUAGCUCUCUAGGUGCAAUUAACAAAAGAUUCAAGCUUCCAGUACUUAUCAGAGACUCUCCCGUGAUGCUCUUCAGUAAGUUUUACACACGGUCGUUGCUGAAUGAAUGACAGCAUUAAAGGCACAGAGAAGAGAAAACACUAGGAGAAAGCACUUAUGGAGGGACCAGGCCUGUGUGCAGCCUGGGCUGCAGGGCAGGUGGGAAGCAUUCAAACAUAAGGCAACCGUGUGGUACAGGGACCAGUAUGUAUCAAACAUGGCACAGUCAGUGUCCUACUUUUUGUGGGUCAGAUGUCACCUAUCCCAGGAUGGCCUGGUUUGCCAUGUGGCAUGACACUACUAAUUCAUGUUUAGGGUAUGGCCAACUCUGACCCACGGCUUUUCUUCUAGUAUUCUUGGUACCCAGCCAGUUGAACACCAGCCUGUAUUUGUGGGGUUUGACUUUUUUUUUUUUUUGAGAGAGAGAGAGAGAGAGAGCAAGAGCACAAGGAGGGCUAGAGGGCAGGGAGAGAGGGAGAGAGAGAAUCUUAAGCAGGCUCCACACCCAGCAAGGAGCCCAAUGUGGGGCUUAACCAACUGAGCCACCCAGGUGCCCCCUUUUUUUCCUGCCUUUGUAUUCCUAUAUAUAGCAACAUUGUUCUAAGAAUGGAGGGACCCCCUUGGGGUCUUGACCCCCUACAGUGUCUUCUCCACACUGUAGUCACAGGCAACCUUUUACAGUGAGUAUCAGCUGCAUCCCUGCCCUGCUCAAACCCUCCACUCAGAGCAACAGCUGAGUCCUCAUCAAGGCCUAGAAGCCUGACGCUUCCUGACCCAAUUCCUAUCCUUUCCAUUGGUCUGGCCACUCCAGCUUCACUGGUCUCCUUGCUGUUUCCUAAGCUACAGCAAACACCUUGUCUCCUGACUCUGCCUUACUGUUCUCUGCUGUCCAGAAUAUUCUGUCCUCCCCCAGUUCCUUCAGGUCUCUGCUCACUCUUUGCCUUCUCAUCUUUUGUCUGACCUGUGGCCCAGUAGGAAACAAGCACCCCAUCCCACAUUCCCUGACCUCAGCUUGCUAUAUAUAUUUUUUCAGAGCACUUGUCAGACCCUGUCCCUUUGUGUUUCUUUGUGGAUCGCCUGUCUCCCUCCACAGGAACGUAAGCUCCUUGAAG
rnacentral:lncRNA from 1 species